rnacentral:rRNA from 1 species
UACGUAGGGGGCAAGCGUUGUCCGGAAUUAUUGGGCGUAAAGCGCGCGCAGGCGGUUCACAUAGUCGGGUGGUUAAGCCCGGGGCUCAACCCCGGGUCACACCGGAAACUGGUGGACUUGAGUGCAAAAGAGGAGAGUGGAAUUCCACGUGUAGCGGUGAAAUGCGUAGAGAUGUGGAGGAACACCAGUGGCGAAGGCGACUCUCUGGAUUGUCACUGACGCUGAAGCACGAAAGCGUGGGGAGCAAACAGG